AGAGUUUGAUCCUGGCUCAGGAUGAACGCUAGCUACAGGCUUAACACAUGCAAGUCGAGGGGCAUCAGGAAGAAAGCUUGCUUUCUUUGCUGGCGACCGGCGCACGGGUGAGUAACACGUAUCCAACCUGCCCUUUACUCGGGGAUAGCCUUUCGAAAGAAAGAUUAAUACCCGAUAGCAUAAUGAUUCCGCAUGGUUUCAUUAUUAAAGGAUUCCGGUAAAGGAUGGGGAUGCGUUCCAUUAGGUUGUUGGUGAGGUAACGGCCCACCAAGCCUUCGAUGGAUAGGGGUUCUGAGAGGAAGGUCCCCCACAUUGGAACUGAGACACGGUCCAAACUCCUACGGGAGGCAGCAGUGAGGAAUAUUGGUCAAUGGGCGCUAGCCUGAACCAGCCAAGUAGCGUGAAGGAUGAAGGCUCUAUGGGUCGUAAACUUCUUUUAUAUAAGAAUAAAGUGCAGUAUGUAUACUGUUUUGUAUGUAUUAUAUGAAUAAGGAUCGGCUAACUCCGUGCCAGCAGCCGCGGUAAUACGGAGGAUCCGAGCGUUAUCCGGAUUUAUUGGGUUUAAAGGGAGCGUAGGUGGACUGGUAAGUCAGUUGUGAAAGUUUGCGGCUCAACCGUAAAAUUGCAGUUGAUACUGUCAGUCUUGAGUACAGUAGAGGUGGGCGGAAUUCGUGGUGUAGCGGUGAAAUGCUUAGAUAUCACGAAGAACUCCGAUUGCGAAGGCAGCUCACUGGACUGCAACUGACACUGAUGCUCGAAAGUGUGGGUAUCAAACAGGAUUAGAUACCCUGGUAGUCCACACAGUAAACGAUGAAUACUCGCUGUUUGCGAUAUACAGUAAGCGGCCAAGCGAAAGCAUUAAGUAUUCCACCUGGGGAGUACGCCGGCAACGGUGAAACUCAAAGGAAUUGACGGGGGCCCGCACAAGCGGAGGAACAUGUGGUUUAAUUCGAUGAUACGCGAGGAACCUUACCCGGGCUUAAAUUGCAGUGGAAUGAUGUGGAAACAUGUCAGUGAGCAAUCACCGCUGUGAAGGUGCUGCAUGGUUGUCGUCAGCUCGUGCCGUGAGGUGUCGGCUUAAGUGCCAUAACGAGCGCAACCCUUAUCUUUAGUUACUAACAGGUCAUGCUGAGGACUCUAGAGAGACUGCCGUCGUAAGAUGUGAGGAAGGUGGGGAUGACGUCAAAUCAGCACGGCCCUUACGUCCGGGGCUACACACGUGUUACAAUGGGGGGUACAGAAGGCAGCUAGCGGGUGACCGUAUGCUAAUCCCAAAAUCCUCUCUCAGUUCGGAUCGAAGUCUGCAACCCGACUUCGUGAAGCUGGAUUCGCUAGUAAUCGCGCAUCAGCCACGGCGCGGUGAAUACGUUCCCGGGCCUUGUACACACCGCCCGUCAAGCCAUGGGAGCCGGGGGUACCUGAAGUACGUAACCGCAAGGAUCGUCCUAGGGUAAAACUGGUGACUGGGGCUAAGUCGUAACAAGGUAGCCGUACCGGAAGGUGCGGCUG
rnacentral:rRNA from 1 species